rnacentral:rRNA from 1 species
GACGAACGCUGGCGGCGUGCUUAACACAUGCAAGUCACGGGGGCCCAGCAAUGGGUAACCGGCGAACGGGUGCGUAACACGUGAGCAACCUGCCGAUCUGAGGGGGAUAGCCGGCCCAACGGCCGGGUAAUACCGCAUACGCUUCUGUGGGGACAUCCCUGUGGAAGGAAACCUCCGGGGCAGAUCGAGGGGCUCGCGGCCUAUCAGCUAGUUGGUGUGGGUAACGGCCCACCAAGGCGACGACGGGUAGCUGGUCUGAGAGGAUGGCCAGCCACAUUGGGACUGAGAGACGGCCCAGACUCCUACGGGAGGCAGCAGUGGGGAAUCUUGCGCAAUGGCCGAAAGGCUGACGCAGCGACGCCGCGUGUGGGAUGAAGCAUUUCGGUGUGUAAACCACUGUUGCCCGGGACGAACAGCUCUUUUCGAGAGCCUGACGGUACCGGGUGAGGAAGCACCGGCUAACUCCGUGCCAGCAGCCGCAGUAAU